rnacentral:rRNA from 1 species
AACGAACGCUGGCGGCAGGCUUAACACAUGCAAGUCGAACGCAUCCUUCGGGGUGAGUGGCAGACGGGUGAGUAACGCGUGAGAACGUGCCCUUCAGUUCGGGAUAACCCAGGGAAACUUGGGCUAAUACCGGAUACGUGCGAGAGCAGAAAGAUUUAUCGCUGAAGGAUCGGCCCGCGUCUGAUUAGCUAGUUGGUGGGGUAAUGGCCCACCAAGGCGACGAUCAGUAGCUGGUCUGAGAGGAUGAUCAGCCACAUUGGGACUGAGACACGGCCCAAACUCCUACGGGAGGCAGCAGUGGGGAAUAUUGGACAAUGGGCGCAAGCCUGAUCCAGCCAUGCCGCGUGAGUGAUGAAGGCCUUAGGGUUGUAAAGCUCUUUCAGUGGGGACGAUAAUGACGGUACCCGCAGAAGAAGCCCCGGCUAACUUCGUGCCAGCAGCAGCCGCCG